rnacentral:rRNA from 1 species
GAUGAACGCUAGCUACAGGCUUAACACAUGCAAGUCGAGGGGUAACGAGAGGAAAGCUUGCUUUCCUUGUCGACGACCGGCGCACGGGUGAGUAACGCGUAUCCAACCUGCCCCCAACUAGGGAAUAACCUUGCGAAAGUAAGACUAAUACCCUAUAAUUUCCUCAGAUGUCAUCUGACGAGGAAUAAAGAUUUAUCGGUUGUGGAUGGGGAUGCGCUCUGAUUAGCUUGUUGGCGGGGUAACGGCCCACCAAGGCAACGAUCAGUAGGGGUUCUGAGAGGAAGGUCCCCGACAUUGGAACUGAGACACGGUCCAAACUCCUACGGGGGGAAGCAGUGAGGAAUAUUGGUAAAUGGGCGGAAGCCUGAGCAAGCCAAGUAGCGUGCAGGAUGACGUCCCUAUGGGUUGUAAACUGCUUUUAUACAGGAAUAAAGUUAGCCACGUGUGGUUAUUUGUAGGUACUGUAUGAAUAAGGACCGGCUAAUUCCGUGCCAGCCGCCGCCGCAG